rnacentral:rRNA from 1 species
AACGUAGGAGGCGAGCGUUAUCCGGAUUUACUGGGCGUAAAGCGUACGCAGGCGGCUUCGUUAGUCGGGUGUGAAAGCUCCUAGCUUAACUGGGAGAGGCCAUUCGAUACUGCGAGGCUUGAGGUUGGGAGAGGGGUGUGGAAUUCCCGGUGUAGUGGUGGAAUGCGUAGAUAUCGGGAGGAACACCUGUGGCGAAAGCGGCACCCUGGCCCACACCUGACGCUGAGGUACGAAAGCGUGGGGAGUAAACAGG